CUGCCAGUCAUUUAUGUUUCUUUCUUUGUGCACACAAAACAAGACAGAGGUUCCAUGCUGUGCCCCCUGUGUGAUCGACACAAUAUUAGAAGGAACAAUCACGACCGCUGUGGACAAAACAUUUUGCCACGGAUGCAGACCGACAGACAAUGAAAGAUGAAGGUUCCAGAUGUGCCCAGCAAUACAGACCUACUGUGACUCCAUGGGAGGAAUGAGAUGCUGAAGAAACUAAUGACUCAGUGAGGCCACCAGAGAUCUGGCUAUGCAUUCAUAUGGAUGUGUGCAUUAUGUGGUGACUGUAAAAAAAUGCAUGCAAAUCUGCCUUCUCUGCCUUGUAUUUUUGUCACUUAUAUCUGAUCUUGAGAUUCCCUGUAGCCCCUAUGUGCAUCAUCAUCUGCUUGUGUGACCAUUUAGAAAUCUCUCAAUGACAACAAAAUUGGACUUUUGCAGGAUUAAAGAACCCAGUUGAAAUGCAAGUGACUCCGAGCUGCAACAGACGCUGUGCGGGAUUCUGGGAAUGUGUAGUCAGCUUCCUUUGGAUGCAUUAAGGGAGUAGGGAAAGGCGUUUUUAUUUUUAGCCAGAAGCCUUACACACACAUGGGUCUAUGGCUAAGAGGGAAUUUCUACAGCCAGUAGAAUGGAGUCUUUGGGUUUUCAAGUGGAGCUGUGGGCAAAUUCACUCUCAGGUCAGAUGCCCGAUAGGUGUUCACAUAUGGCAAGAGAUCAGAGGGAAUUUUUACUUUUUACCAUCUGUAUUUUUUUGUUUAGCCACAAACAAGUCCGAAGCGGUCAAUUCCAGCCCUUCUGCAUUCACCCUUGCCUCUAGUCUUUGAUGGCUUGUGCUUCCUCACCAUCUCUUUCUAUUCCAUGCGUAAAGUUUGAAGACCGCGACCCACCUGCCAGAGAAGCUUGAGCCGGAAUGGUAGAGAGUGAUGAUGUGCCCCCUCUCAUCUCCUGUGGCACUUUCUACCUCUUGAGUCCUUAAAGAUGUGCCAUCUGGAGGUCCCCCUGAACUCUUGUGGGGCGAGAAUGGCACUUCGCGUUCUCAAGAUUAUCAAAAUUGGUGUGCCUGGGCCCUCUUUUCUCAAAACCCCUCCCUGCUCCCAGACAUGAAAGGUUCAGGUCUCAGAGGCUUCACUUUCUCAUGUCCCAAAGCAGACUCAGUGGAUACUCCGUGCGAGAGUGGAUGUCUGUACGAGCGAGCUGCUGCGGCUCUGAUAAAAUGAGACAUGGGUUACAGAGCUUUUGAUAUACUGCAGCUGUUCGUCACCUCGUCUGACCUUCACCCCCAGUCCGUACCCCGGAGACGUGUCCAGAAUUAGAACAGGUUAAAGUCAGUAAUGGUGUUCAGAACUAACAAAAUAUGGAAUAGGCUCACUUGGAGCAAGGGAGAACAAAAUAUGUCUUUUAAAAAUAGUUAACAUUGACAUGAUAAAUAAACUUUGAAUAUUUGUAUAGCAAUACAAGGUUAUAGGCCUACCCUCCCACCCCCUCCCCACCUUCUCCUGUUGCUUUUUCCGAAUAAACUGUUGACCUUUGGUCACUUUUUAAUGUCA